AUGGAUACGGACCAGUCCUUAUCUCCUUCCUCAUCUGCCAGAUCCGGCACCCAAUCACGCUCGUCGGUUUCUUCCCCCCAGGGUGAGGGAUCAGCUCUUCACCUCUCUUCCUCCAAGGAGGUCGAUGUGGAGACUGUUGCUGGGGAUUCGCCACCCCUGUCGCCCCAAUAUGAGGAGCUUUUGGAGUUGGUUACACGCGCAGUCGAUAAAUUAAAAAUCGAAUGGCCUGCUGAAAAACAUUCUGAGCCGCAGAGAAGCAGGUUAGAUGAACACUUUCUGCGGCCGAAGCAACCACCUCCACGUCGGAGCCUACCAUUUUUUCCCGAUCUCCACGACGAAAUAUCGAGAUCGUGGAAUCAUCCUUAUUCGACCCGCCUCUUUGGCCCCGAUUCACUAUAUUAUGGCAAUGUGAUGGGGCUGGGAGAGUGGGGUUAUAGAGCGGUGCCACGGGUCAAACAGACACUCGCGGACUAUCUGUCGCCCGGGUCGGCAUCGUCGCUAAAGGCUCCGACGUUCCCCGCAAAGCCUAUUAGAGUUACAUCAUCACUGGUGGGCAAAGGUUAUGUGGCAGCAGGUCAGGCUGGGGCUUGCCUUCACACUAUGGCAGUCCUACAAACUUAUCAGGCUGACCUGCUAGGAGAUAUUGACGAGGGGAGGGGAUUAAGUCUGAAGAUAUCGAAGAACUUAGAAAGACUGCUGAUCUCUCCCUCCACGCCACUAAAGAGACCGCUCUCGCGAUUGGGCGGUCUAUGGCAGCCUUAUGGCAGUGUAUAUUCCUGGGAGAUUGAAUGUGGGAGCAGACAUACUGUCAAGGCAGGGGCCGAGGCCCGGGGAAUGGAAAAUUCACCCCGAGGUGGUGAGGCAGAUAUGGAGAGUGUUUGGUACAGCCCAGGUGGACCUCUUUGCGACUCAGGAGACAUCGCAUUGUCCCCUCUGGUUCUCUCUAGUUCAUCCAGCUCCUCUGGGACUGGACGCUUUGGUACAGACCUGGCCGAGGCUUCGUCUGUACGCACAGAUCUAGUCUCGCUCCUCGACGGCUCUCCACGGGAGAUACCGAUCAGGACAGACCUACUCUCACAGGUGCAGGGUACGAUAAUUCACCCUCGCCCGGAGUUGUGGAAGCUGUGGGUGUGGCCCCUGAGGGGGCACAACUGUUAG
rnacentral:lncRNA from 1 species